CAGCAGCCGCGGUAAUACGAAGGGUGCAAGCGUUACUCGGAAUUACUGGGCGUAAAGCGUGCGUAGGUGGUUGUUUAAGUCUGCUGUGAAAGCCCUGGGCUCAACCUGGGAAUUGCAGUGGAUACUGGGCGACUAGAGUAAGGUAGAGGAUAGUGGAAUUUCCGGUGUAGCAGUGAAAUGCGUAGAGAUCGGAAGGAACAUCUGUGGCGAAGGCGACUAUCUGGGCCAACACUGACACUGAGGCACGAAAGCGUGGGGAGCAAACAGGAUUAGAUACCCCGGUAGUCCCUGUCUCUUAUAC
rnacentral:rRNA from 1 species